ensembl:lncRNA
CUGGGUGAUGUUUCCCAGUUAAACAGUGAGUUCCCUGAGGAUGUUUUCAGCCCCUUUGUCUUUUCCAGGGUCAGGAUAAACAGAAGAACCUCAGGCUACUCUAAGCAGAAGGAAUGUAUGAUAAUGUGACCAAGCACUGACUGCAGGUUAUCAAGUGGCUCCAGCCAGAACAAUAGAAGACGCCAUGGAGUGAUGCUUUUGGGGAACUCAAAAAUGAAGCGUUGCGGAACUCAUCCUCCAAAACGAAAGAGGAUGUUCAAGAUGAGGGCUGUUUGCUUCUCAUCUAUAGAUCAAGCCCUGAGCCUUUGGAGUGGGAGCACUGACUCCAAGACCCUACACUACCAG